CUCUCUCUCAAAAUCUGUCUCUCACUCGACUCUCUCUUUUGAAUCUCUAGUCUCUCUCGCUCGAAUCUCACUGUUUCUCUCGCUCGACAGUGAAGAUUUGAAGAUUUGAUCGGUUCAUAAUUUUCUGUUGAUGAAGAUUUGAAUCAAUCUACUGUUGAUGAAGAUUUCGAUCGAUUCAUAAUCGAGAUUCAUAAUUGAUAAUUUGGUGAGCCAAGAGGUAGUUUUGCAGAUAGAAAAGGAAACUGCAAGCGCUGCAGCAGUUUGUAGCACAGGGAGCUUGUUUCCAGAAUUAGACUCCAUAUCUGUAGCAGCAUCUGUAAUUCAGACGUGCUGUCCUGGAACAAAAGCACCUGAUUUAGAAGAACAUGAUAAAUUCUAUGAGGACUUCAAUAUGGAUGAAGUUGGCUCGAAUAUUGAGAACUAUGAAGAAACAUUUGGUGUAGCUCUUAAUGAUGCAGAACAACUGUUUGGUAAUGAUGGAAUUGGUAGCUUGUUUGGAGUGAAGGACAUGUCCGGUGCUGAUUUGAACCAUUGAGGCACAUAUGCAG